GCUGGGCGCGGUGGUGCGUACCUGUAGUCCCAGCUAUUCAGGUCCUGAGGUGGGAUGGUCACUUGAGUCCAGGAGUUCUGGGCUGCAGUGUGCUAUCCCGAUCAGGUGUCCAUAUGAAGUUCGGCAUCAAUAUGGUGACCUCCUGGGAGUGGGGGACCACCAGGUUGCCUAAGGAGGGGUGAACUGGCCCAGCUUGGAAAUGGAACAGGUCAAGAAAUCUAAUAGGAUUUUUACUGGGAUAGAAUUUAAUAUAUAAAUACUUUGGAUAUUCUGACCAAUGCCCAGUAGAUAAAAUUAAAAAAUUAAAAAUUCAUUUCA
rnacentral:SRP_RNA from 1 species